rnacentral:sRNA from 1 species
AAAGUUUGAAAAGUUCAAAAGUAUACUUUAUAACACAGAAAAAGUUCAAUAGUAAAAAUAAACUCUCUGUUCUCUUUCAUAGUAGGUGAAAUAAAGAUCUCGCGUCGCCGUUAAUCAAUCGCCGUCCCAGAUUUCUUUUGGGCUCAAGGACUUCUCUCUCAGCUGUUUUCAUCUGAGCGGAGCUUCUACCGGAGAUAUUAACUUUUUCGGUCCGGUUAAAACAAACUUUUACAAAGUGCUCUGUUUUUGUUCUGUCAUCUGCUUGCUGAAGUUUUCAUGGAUAAAGACUUGGAUAAAGCUAUUCAAAACAUGUCUCUUGAAGAUAAUCAACCUCUGAUUCUCUCAAAUCUUCCGCAGUUUUCCUCUAUUGAACGCAAUAGCUGUAGUAUUCUGGGAAGAUUCUUAAAUCCAGAAAAUCAACGGAUGUCUAACUGGAUUUUAGACAUGCCUCGUAUUUGGCGUUUAUCUAAUCGUGUUAGAGGUGUGGC